rnacentral:rRNA from 1 species
UACGAAGGGGGCUAGCGUUGUUCGGAUUUACUGGGCGUAAAGCGCGCGUAGGCGGGUCACUUAGUCAGAGGUGAAAUCCCGAGGCUUAACCUCGGAACUGCCUUUGAUACUGGUGACCUGGAGAUCGGGAGAGGUUGGUGGAAUUCCGAGUGUAGAGGUGAAAUUCGUAGAUAUUCGGAGGAACACCAGAAGCGAAGGCGGCCAACUGGCCCGAUACUGACGCUGAGGCGCGAAAGCGUGGGGAGCAAACAGG